rnacentral:pre_miRNA from 1 species
UGGAGUUCCGGGUAGUCCAGAGCCGGGAGUCAGGCUCUAGCCGCCCGAAACACCCGC